AGCAACCUUCACGCUGAUAAUCGAUUUUGACUAAGAUUUGGGUCGUGCACUAGGGCGAAAGGUCUAAGGAGAAUAUGUUGAAUCCGCCAUUUUAAAUGAGAGUGAUCACCCCCUACGUGCAAAAUGUAAUGUAAAUACGCUUCUAAUUUCUUGCUGAAGGAUACAUGGGUGAAAACUGCAAAGUGAGGUCUGAAUUAUCCUGAACAUGUGGAAAAUUACUUUCUCAACACUUUGAGCACCGAAUCCCGGAAGUAUCACUAUUAAGACAGACUGAACUGUGUCCGUCUUCUCCCGUCACCCAGGAAGAGGUGUCCUAAGAUAGUCAUCACUGCAACUUUUCAACACUCAGUAAGUCCAGUGAUCCUCGGGCAGAGCUCACCUGGGCACACCUUCCAACACCGCCAUUGUAGCGACGGAAAGGGACGCACUGGUGCUUGACGAUGACGUCCCUCAGGUACUUGUUGGCCUUGCGGAUGUGCAUGCCCUUGAUGGCCUGGGCUGUCUCACGGGUGUUCUGUACAUAAAACAAGCAUCCAAACAGCUCAGACUGACAUCUGCACAGCAGAGAGAGCAGCUACACUUGUUUUACUCGGACAACGGCGUUGGUGGGACGAGUUAACAGGAGCUUCCGUCAACAAAAAGCCUGGAGCCAACAUGUGGACUCUUCAGAACCAUCUUACCUUGAAGUGAACCCGGAGGUUGGAGCCCCUCGACUUGCAUGCUGAAAUAAAGAACCGAGUCAUUACAAACACAGCAGAAGCUCGUUUAGCAGAAAGUGUCCUGGUUACAUUUGGAAGCUCAGCUCAUUCAUUUUAUUUUGUUUUCAUGUUUAAUCCAAAGGUGUCCUAAGAAGUCAUCACAGCAACCGUGCUAACCCUGGAAAACCCACACAACUCCGGCCCUACUCACAUUUAGUCGGGUUCUCGGGGUCGAGUGAGUAGCGGACCAUUUUCAGAAUAUCUGUGAAGAGAGACGAGCGGUCACUUUUUAGUCUUAUUGCAGACGGUGUACGACAGGCUCCUCAUGACUCCUGCUGGUUAGCAUUAGCUCAACUUACGGCACCAACUUCACUAAAUAUCGCCGAGAAACGGCAGUUGACGCUAUAAAACGCCACAAACAGCCUCAGACACAAGUAAAGCACAGAAAUAAAGUUAAAGUUCACGUUAAACCCUAAAAUGCCCCGGUUUUCAUCGCCAGACGCUGCCAACAUGGCGGCCCGCCGUGAUAGCCACCAAACCGGCGUCUUCACAAAUGUUACAAGAAAAGCCGAAUUUGCGGCUCCACACACAAAUAUCCAACAUCGUCUAAGGCGUUUAAUGAUUAUGAACGAAACCCAGCGAGUUAAAGAGCCGGAUGGUGAAGAUUUAGUGCAGAUUAAAGACAGAUUCUGGUCUUCAUAUGCGGGACGGAGCUCCUACCUCUGAGGCCGCGGA